rnacentral:lncRNA from 1 species
AAAAAAAAAAGAUUAAAUGGGAAGCAUCUGACCUACUUUUUUUUAACUGCAUAGGGCCUGGGAAGUCAAGCCUGUUUCCCUGGACCCUUCAGGCCAAUUCUCCAUCACUGUGGCUCCAUGGUAGGAUACAGAUGGAGAAUUCCCAGACCUUGCUUAUUUGCCUCAGCCCUGCUAAGCAGUGGAAUAGAAUGGUCUCCCCAUUGGUCAAGGAAAGGUAGGCAUAAAGCAGUCCCCAGGCAAAAGUCUCAUAGGUGAUCUCUAAUAGAAUAUCCCCCUACAAAAGAGUUACUCAUUGAGAAUUGUAAAACAGGAGGCACUCAUGAAUAUUAGACUGGACUGCAGCAUGGAGAAGACAAGCUGAGUGUUGUCCAUGGCCUAGAAUGCUAGGUGUAAGGGAACCAUUUACUUUCUUCUCUGCUCAAGAGGCAUUAUCAGAAUGUAAGUGAUUGAAAUGCCUGGAAUACUCUGCCUGAUAAGAAUGUCUUUGUAUACCACGUGGGUGCUCCAUGUCUAUAUGACUGACCCUCAUAGAAAUCCUAGACACCAAGGCUUGGGUGAGCUUCCCUGGCUGGUAAUAUUUUGUGCAUAGGCACGUAUCAUUGCAGAGACAAUUAAGCCCUGUCUGUGUUUUUCCACUGAGAGAGGACAACUGGAAGCUCAUGUCUGGUUUCUCUUGUACGCCACCCUAUGCCAUUUUUAUUUUGUUUUUGCAGAUUUUGAAUCUGAAUCCUUACAGUGUAAUAAACCAUAGCCAUGAAUAUAACAGCUUUUCUGAGUUUUAUGAGUCCUUCUAGUGAAUCACUGAAC